GCCUUCGUGGUGUAGUGGUCAGCACACUCGACGUGUAAUCAAGGGGUUCGUGAUUCGAUUCCCGGCGAGGGCA
rnacentral:tRNA from 1 species